GGCUCUUAGUGCGGAAAGGAUUUUAGCUCUUAACCAGUCGGCCCUCUCCAAGCAGGCAGCGGAGGGUCCUGGCCUUCAAGAUAGCUUAAGCUACU
rnacentral:SRP_RNA from 1 species